GCCGGGUGUAAUGGCUCACACCUGUAAUCCUAGUACUUCGGGAGGCUGAGGCAAAAGGAUCCCUUGAGCCCAGGAGUUUGAGACCAGCCUGGGCAACAGAGGGAGACCCUGUCUCUU
ensembl:misc_RNA Metazoa_SRP Metazoan signal recognition particle RNA